rnacentral:rRNA from 1 species
GGUCGAGUCGGCCUGCGCGGAAGAUGUAACGGGGCUAAACCAUGCACCGAAGCUGCGGCAGCGACACUAUGUGUUGUUGGGUAGGGGAGCGUUCUGUAAGCCUGUGAAGGUGUGCUGUGAGGCAUGCUGGAGGUAUCAGAAGUGCGAAUGCUGACAUAAGUAACGAUAAAGCGGGUGAAAAGCCCGCUCGCCGGAAGACCAAGGGUUCCUGUCCAACGUUAAUCGGGGCAGGGUGAGUCGACCCCUAAGGCGAGGCCGAAAGGCGUAGUCGAUGGGAAACAGGUUAAUAUUCCUGUACUUGGUGUUACUGCGAAGGGGGGACGGAGAAGGCUAUGUUGGCCGGGCGACGGUUGUCCCGGUUUAAGCGUGUAGGCUGGUUUUCCAGGCAAAUCCGGAAAAUCAAGGCUGAGGCGUGAUGACGAGGCACUACGGUGCUGAAGCAACA